AGCUAACCGGUAAUAAUGAACCGUGAGGCUUAACCUUACAACGCAGAAG
rnacentral:rRNA from 1 species